CAAGACCUUACCAUAAUAUUACUAGGCUCGUCGACGCUCAAUCUUCGCCCCAAAAAUCCCCCAGGGCUCAAAUCAUCGCCUUUCUCGCCCUAUUUUCGCCUCUAUCGGCCAUCCAGAACUAGAAGAGGAAGCAGAACACCACCAGAACUACUACUACUACUACUACUACUGAUAUGGGCCGGAUAUUUCUGGAGCACCUCGGAGGGACUCGACUAUUCUCCUGUGCAACUUGCUACACUAUUUUGACGAACAGGACCGAGCUCAUAUCUACAAGGUUCACUGGGGCGACUGGCCGAGCUUUCCUCUUCAAACGGGUCGUCAAUCUCACGUACAGCGAGGUCCAGGAUCGCGUCAUGCUAACUGGCAGACACAUGGUGAGAGACGUCUCCUGCAAGAACUGUAGCGCCAAGCUUGGAUGGAUCUACGAGUUUGCUACAGAGGAGAACCAGCGGUAAGUAGUAGUAGUAGUAGUAGUAGUAGUAGUAGUAGUAGUAGAGGUUGAGAAUCCCAUGAAAUAACCCAUUUUCUAUUUUUCCCAUUUUCUUCCUUUUUCCAUCAUAGUAAAACACAGCGAGUAUUGAUAACAUUUCUUUUUACAUCCAAGUGGUUUAGGCGUUUGUGUUGAAAUUGAAGGUUUUGUUUGUGUUGAAAUUAAAGGUUUUGUUUGUGUUGAAAUUAAAGGUUUUGUUUGUGUUGAAAUUAAAGGUUUUGUUUGUGUUGAAAUUAAAGGUUUUGUUUGUGUUGAAAUUAAAGGUUUUGUUUGUGUUGAAAUUAAAGGUUUUGUUUGUGUUGAAAUUAAAGGUUUUGUUUGUGUUGAAAUUAAAGGUUUUGUUUGUGUUGAAAUUGAAGGUUUUGUUUGUGUUGAAAUUAAAGGUUUUGUUUGUGUUGAAAUUAAAGGUUUUGUUUGUGUUGAAAUUAAAGGUUUUGUUUGUGUUGAAAUUGAAGGUUUUGUUUGUGUUGAAAUUAAAGGUUUUGUUUGUGUUGAAAUUGAAGGUUUUGUUUGUGUUGAAAUUAAAGGUUUUGUUUGUGUUGAAAUUAAAGGUUUUGUUUGUGUUGAAAUUAAAGGUUUUGUUUGUGUUGAAAUUAAAGGUUUUGUUUGUGUUGAAAUUAAAGGUUUUGUUUGUGUUGAAAUUAAAGGUUUUAUUUUAUUUUUUAAGGCAAACUUUACUAAAUCGUAAUCUGGGAACUUAUUUUGGUAUUUGCUUCACAUAUACGUCAAGGGUGACUUUGCUGUGUGGCGUCAAGUUAUCUACGAACAUGCUUAACCCGGUAGCAGCGUGGAUCAUGUCUCUUAACCCGGUAGCAUCGUGGAUCAUGUCUCUUAACCCGGUAGCAGCGUGGAUCAUGUCUCUUAACCCGGUAGCUCUGGGGAUCGUGUUUCUUGACCCGGUAGCAGCGUGGAUCAUGUCUCUUAACCCGGUAGCAUCAUGGAUCAUGUCUCUUAACCCGGUAGCAUCGUGGAUCAUGCGUCUUAACCCUUUCAUUGCUAAACACAUGCAGUGGGUGUUGGGCGUAUUUGCUGGUGGUGCUAAACGCUCGCUGUGACCUCCUGCCGCACUCAAAUCUCCCGCGUAUGAGUGUGUUCCAACGCUACUUCUCACAACACAGGAUUGCCAAUUGAGUGUGUUCUUCACUGAAUUUGGUGGAAAAUCACGUCAGCCCAGCGCGGCAAAUCUAUGGACGAGCAACUGGUGGAUGUUCUUGCCCAAUAAAGCGACAUUUUUGCAUAGCUUCCCCUAUCACCUGACAGCUGGCAAUACUGCCCUGCCAGCACCCCAUCACCAAGAGAUCUACAGUAGUUGCUUUACGGCUGACCGUCGCGCACGCAUAAAUGUACAUCUUCACAGGCCACACCCCCUCACCGUGCCUGUACAUUCCCAGGAGAGGCUUACAUCACCGAAUCUUAUGGAUCUUGGCCUCCUCUUUCCAAUGGUGUUUGUGUUUUGUAGCUGUGAUGAAUAGUUUUUGAGAUACAGAGGUUAAAAGACAUCCCCUUCCCACGCUGGGGUGCCCGAGCGUGCCUGAGGGGAUCGUCUCGGUGUGAGCGCUUAGCAAUGAAAGGGUUAAGAAACAUGACCCCUGCUGCUUCCACCACCGGGUUGAGCGUUGCUUGGGUCGUCUGCGAUUGGUCCGUCCUGUGUCCGAGGCUGGCCCUUGAGAAUCACAAGCAAAAAACACUUUAUAUGUCACCAGCUUGCUAGGCCAGUCGUGAAUCCCCUACUCUUUACCCGGGCUUGGGACAGGCACGGGACUCUACAAUGUUAUUCCCGAGGCAGACUUGUAUAGUGUAUAUGUAGAGAGAGAGAGAGACAGAGAGAGAGACAGAGAGAGAGAGAGAGGGAGAGGUGUCUGCCCCAUGAGUUGUGUUACUUUUCGUUAGCCAUCUGAAGUGUUUUGAGGGCUGUGUCUGUGCCGUGGGAAGAGCCUUACUAGUGUGCUGUUCUGUGUGUGUGGCUGUGCUAUGGGAGGAGCCUUACCAGUGUGUGUUCUCCCCAGGUACAAGGAGGGAAAGGUCAUCCUGGAGCGAGCGUUGGUCACGGAGUCGGAUGGCUUUGAGGAACACUUGGGAGAUGACUAAACAGCCUUCUCUCACUUUUUACAUUUAUUCUCUAUCAUUAGCUGUGUUUUAUAAGGGGUUCUGAUUGUCUUAGGGAGCUGGGGGUCUUAGAGGAUUAAGAACAAGUAUGUAACUCUCCUCACACCAAAUCUGAUGGUCCUGAGUGUUGUAGUUUUUGCAUAUUCCAAAAAAAUGUUAACACUUCCACAUUGAAAUUUUUGGUCGUUGCCCCUUGGAAAUUUUGGAUACCUAUUUUGGGGAAUGUUUUUAUAGGGGUUCUGAUUGUCUUAGGGAGCUGGGGGUCUUAGAGCAUUAAGAACAACUAUUUAACUCUCUUCUUAUCAAAUUUUAUGUUCUUAAGUUUUGUAGUUUUUUCACAAUCCCAAAAAAUGUUAACACUUUCAGAUUAAAAUUUUUGGUCGGUCCCCCGUCGAAAUUUUGGAUACCUAUAUUGGGGAAUGUUUUUAUAGGAGUUCUGAUUGUCUUAGGGAGCUGGGGGUCUCAGAGGAUUAAGAACAAGUAUGUAACUCUCUUCACACCAAAUCUGAUGGUCCUAAGUGUUGUAGUUUUUGCAGAUUCUCAAAAUUUUUUCAACACUUCCACAUUAAAAUUUUGAACCAGUACCCAUCAGAAAUUUUGGAGGCCUAUAUAUGGGGUGUAUUUUUAAGGGGUUCUGAUUGUUCUAGGGAUUUGGGAUUUUGGAGGGAUUGAGAAGAAGUAUUUAACUCCCUUCAUGCCAAAUUUCAUGAUCCUAAUCCCUCACAAUUUUUCACAAGCACCAAAAAUGUUCAAAGAUUCAAGACCUCUUACUGCCAAAAAGGAAGUCCUGGAAGCCAUACUCUUUGAUUCUGAUGCAUUUUUUUAAGGGGUUCUGAUUGUCUUAGGGAGCUGGGGGUCUUAGAGCAUUAAGAACAAGUAUGUAACUCUCCUCACACCAAAUCUGAUGGUCCUGAGUGUUGUAGUUUUUGCAUAUUCCAAAAAAAUGUUAACACUUCCACAUUAUAUUUUUUGGUCGGUCCCCCGUCAAAAUUUUGGAUACCUAUUUUGGGGUAUGUUUUUAUAGGGGUUCUCAUUGUCUUAGGGAGCUAGGGGUCUUAGAGGAUUAAGAACAACUAUUUAACUCUCUUCCUAUCAAAUUUUAUGUUCCUAAGUUUUGUAGUUUUUUCACAAUCUCAAAAAAUGUCAACACUUUCAGAUUAAAAAUAUUUGAUGGGUCCCCUGUGGAAAUUUUGGAUACCUAUUUUGGGGUAUGUUUUUAUAGGGGUUCUCAUUGACUUAGGGAGCUGGGGGUCUUAGAGGAUUAAGAACAACCAUUUAACUCUCUUCCUAUCAAAUUUUAUGUUCCUAAGUUUUGUAGUUUUUUCACAAUCUCAAAAAAUGUUAACACCUCCACAUUAAAAUUUUUGGUCGUUCCCA